AACAACUUUCUGAAGUUGUUAAGUUAAACCAAAACCUUCUUCAUAUUAUAAAUGUUCUUUUCAUGUAAAUACAACUUUCAAAUAUCAUAACACAUGAGUAUGACAUGGUCUUAAGCAAUGUCAAGCUUAAAAUAACAAGUUGUCAAUUUAGGCCAUUCCCCAUAUUUCCAUAUUAAAUUGCAUAUAAAUGAAAUGGGAGAUGGAAAUAUGCUUGUUUUUGCUCACAGUGGCGGAUACAGAAUUUUUCAUAAGUGGGGGUCCACUGACUGCCUAAGAAGGGGCCUGCUCCAGUUAUGCUUCAGUGAUUCCCUAAAUAAUCAACCAAUAUUUUUACAGAAAAGGGGGGACCCGGGCCCCCUUAAUCCGCCUCUGGCUCAAAUCCUUGCUGAGAUAUGAUCAAAUAUGAAGCCUGGAUGUAAAAAGACCUGCUUUCAACUAUAUAUGUAGACAGUAUGGUUUGAUGCAAAGUUUAUUCACUUUACUGUUUAAAACCUGCAUGAAAUUUCAGCCUGAAAAAGCCAAUAUUUUAACCACCAGCCAUUCAACAGAAGAAAAUAAAGGUAUUCUGUGAAACAGACAAGUUUAAACAACCAGUAAUAAGUGCUUUUGAUAUAGAUUCAGUGCAAUCUGUUUAAAG
rnacentral:lncRNA from 1 species